AACGAGCGCUGGCGGCAGGCUUAACACAUGCAAGUCGAACGCCCCGCAAGGGGAGUGGCAGACGGGUGAGUAACGCGUGGGAAUCUACCGUGCCCUGCGGAAUAGCUCCGGGAAACUGGAAUUAAUACCGCAUACGCCCUACGGGGGAAAGAUUUAUCGGGGUAUGAUGAGCCCGCGUUGGAUUAGCUAGUUGGUGGGGU
rnacentral:rRNA from 1 species